AGGCCAAUCCAAUUGCAAAUGCCUCCAUGAAAUCUACUGAAUCAAGGACUUCGUCUUCAUGAACUCCAGAAGACCACAACAAGUACAGAUGUUUAGUAGAAAAAUCUCAAGAUCCCUAUGCAGAAGAUACACAGUCCUUUCACACAGAGUAUAGGACAGAAGCCAUCUGGCAAAGAAUUUUUGCUAGCAGACCUUGUAAAGGAGCAGUCAAAUCAAGACUAGAGGAUAGACAAAGUUGCCCAUUCAGACUGAUCAGAUUAAUAUCAGCAGACCAAGCCAUGUGAUCAGCCAAAUCACUAGCUGAGUCACCAAAUAUCAUCCAGAAGGAAUCCACUUUUAGCAGAAGGAAUCCACAUUCGCAAGCUUCAUCCAGAAGGAAUCAACUUUCUUUCACGAUAGGCACACCAAUUAUGGUCACAUCAACUUUAAUAAAGUUGCUUUAGUCUACACCAUCCU
rnacentral:lncRNA from 1 species